UAUCCCCAUUCUACAAUUUCCCAUUAUAUCUCCCCACUGAAUCUAUCUUUUAUACAUCAAUACUCUUGUAUGUACUCGUUAGUACUCGUUAGUAGUUCUCAAUUUUUCCCUUUUUUUUUUUCUUUGGAUCUCUUAUCUCACUUCGCCGUAGAAUCCCUCUCCCUCCCGCCUUCUAUCUCACAGAUGGUCUCUCCCUCACUUCAUGACAGUUUCUCCUCCAAUUCUUUGUCCAUUCUCCGGCGCCGUCAACAACACCAGCGAAGCUGUCUCUGCCUGCACCACGUAAGAAUUUUGAGAUCUCCACUGCUUUAAUUGCUCCGAUUGUGCUUAGGGUUUUGGUGGAGGACCAAGUGUAUUCGAUCGGCUUCUGAGGAGAACUGAAUCUGAUACAACGCUACUAAUGUUGCCAAAGUAGUAGAAGGCGAAGAGCAGAGUCGAACAUUGGCAGCGACAACUGAUUUUAUGGUUUCUUCAUCAAAAGCUUAAUACGACAUCGAAUUCCAAUGAUUUUCUCUCUCUCGCUCUCUUGGGAUUCACAAGCCCGUAGGAGGUUCUAACCUCUAUUUCUGGAUUGCAAUCAUUCCAAUUUCAAUGCAGCUAGUUCUUUUGAUUGGCACAAAGCUACAACAUAUUAUUGCGACCCUGGCACUAGAGAAUGCUGGUUUAAGAGUUCAUGGAGAAAGGAAGAGGCCAAGGGAUGAUCUUUUCUGGUUU